rnacentral:rRNA from 1 species
CUACGGGUGGCAGCAGUGGGGAAUAUUGCACAAUGGGCGCAAGCCUGAUGCAGCCAUGCCGCGUGUAUGAAGAAGGCCUUCGGGUUGUAAAGUACUUUCAGCGGGGAGGAAGGGAGUAAAGUUAAUACCUUUGCUCAUUGACGUUACCCGCAGAAGAAGCACCGGCUAACUCCGUGCUAGGCAGCCGCGGUAAUACGGAGGGUGCGAAGCGUUAAUCGGAAUUACUGGGCGUAAAGCGCACGCAGGCGGUUUGUUAAGUCAGAUGUGAAAUCCCGGGCUCAACCUGGGAACUGCAUCUGAUACUGGCAAGCUUGAGUCUCGUAGAGGGGGGUAGAAUUCCAGGUGUAGCGGUGAAAUGCGUAGAGAUCUGGAGGAAUACCGGUGGCGAAGGCGGCCCCCUGGACGAAGACUGACGCUCAGGUGCGAAAGCGUGGGGAGCAAACAGGAUUAGAUACCCCUGUAGUC